rnacentral:SRP_RNA from 1 species
GCUGGGCGUGGUGGUGGGCACCUGUAGUCUCAGCUACUUGGGAGGCUGAGGCAGGAGAAUCGCUUGAUCCCAGGAGACUGAGGUUGCAGUGAGCCAAGAUUAUGUCACUGCACUUCAGCCUGGGCAACACAGUGAGACUCUGUCUCAA